rnacentral:miRNA from 1 species
UCCCUGAGCAAAGCCAC